UAGCGGCGAGCGAAGCCCCAAGAGUCCGGUUUUGAAAGCUCCUUCGGGCGCGUUGUAGCCGGAGGCGUCCUUGGCCGACGGUCCAUCCCAAGUCCCAUGGAACUGGGCGCCGUAGAGGGUGAGAGCCCCGUACGGAUGGAUCCGACGCCGUGCAAGGUGCCCUCAAAGAGUCACGUUGUUUGGGAAUGCAGCGUAAAGACGAGGUAAAUUUCUCGUGAAGACUAAAUAUCUGCCAAUGACCGAUAGCGCACAAGUAGCGUGAGCGAAAGAUGAAAACUAUGCUGAAAAGCAAGUUAAAAGAAGGUGAAACUGUUGGAGGGGAAGGCGUGGCACCCAGACGUAGGACGGUCGAUCAGCUUCGGCGCACUCGGCCGCUCCUAGGCCAGCACAGUCGCCGCGGGCUUACAAAAGCGGACGCGACCCCCCCGGGGGUCGCCCCGUGGAAUGGGCCCAGCGGCGGUUGACGACCGCAAGGUACGCUGGCGUAAUGGGAAUCACGCGCCCGUCUUGAAACACGGACCAAGGAGUCGAGCAGUGGUGCGAGUCUACGGGCUUCAAGCCCCGAGGCGCAGUGAAAGCGACAGGGUGGAACUUCGGUGCACACCCGGCCGGGCCCGAUGCUUGCGGAAGGUUCUGAGCAAGAGCAUCACUGUUCGGACCCGAAAGAUGGCGAACUAUGGCUGAGCAGGGUGAAGGCAUCGGAAACGGUGCUGGAGGCCCGAAGAGGUUCUGACGUGCAAAUCGAUCUUCAAACCUGGC
rnacentral:rRNA from 1 species